rnacentral:lncRNA from 1 species
AUAAAUCUUGCGUCAACCAGUAAAGGAGCAUCACUAAAUGUCAAAAUACAAGGCCAUAUCCUCAAUACAACUGUCUGAAUUAUAGAACAGUAAUAACACGAGUAAAUGAAAGAAAACUCCAAGACCUGCGAACGACAUAGCAACUACCUCGUAGUCUCCUCAAAUUGUACCAUUGCGAAAUCUAGCAAUCACCACGCCUAGAAGUACCUGGAUCUGCACAUGAAGUGCAGAGUAUAGUAUGAGUACAACCGACACCAUGCACUCAAUAAGUAACAACCCUAUCCUUGGGCUGAAAGCAGUGACGAGCUUAGAAGAAAUAGUCAGUGACCAAUAUCAAUAAUCAGUAACAGCUCAAGAUAUAACAGAACAGUAUAAGUGAAUAACUCAAUGAUAUCAUGUUCAGCUCGAUCACAUUUCAUGAAUUGAAACACGUUUUUCAAGUAUAACAGUUUAAGCCAAAUACGGAUAAAACAUGUUAUUUACCAUCUAGCAUGAGAAAAGUACAUCGCUAUACCUACAUGUCAAAUAUACAUGUCAAGUCAGUGUCAUCACAGUGAAACAAUCAAGAGUAACCACACCCAGCACGCUCAAGGUGCCUAGCACAAGGCCCUCACCAUCACACACACAACUACACUCAGCACUGUAUGGGUGCUUAGCAUAAUUGCCCCUCACCAAAGUACGUAUAUAUCAUUGUGCCUGCGCUCGUUACAAUAUUAGACUCUGGAGGGGCGGAUCCUGGCCCAAGCGCUAAUCAAUAGUCAAUAUGACCUGUUGCGGCAUGCAACUCGAUCCAAAUAUCACGCACAAUAUGGUUUUAUGGCCCACAUCAGUCAUCAACCUAUCAAGUUUCAAGGGCUCACAAUCUCAUAAAACUCAGCCCAAUGAGAAUCACAUAUGGAAAACAAAAACAUGUGAUGUAACAAAUAAAUAAUGUAUAGAGAUUGAGAUAUGACAUACACAUGAAGAAUUAUGACUAAAUAUAUAACUACAGUUAAGGAAAACAACUUAAAACUGAAUGAAUAUCCCCAUUAUGGUUCAACCAAAUAAGCAUAUAUAUAUGAUUUCUAAUAUAGAUCAUAGCCCAAAUAAUCAUACGAGUAGAGAAAACAAGGAUAUAACAAGGCAUGAUAGCAAAACAAGUGCGGUAAUAGUCUAAAUAUCCAGUCGGAUCAAGAAUACUCUGAUGCACACAUACACGCCUGUCACCUUGCAUAUGCGUCACCGAACCACAUCUCAUAUAUCAUAGUUCCCAGGGUUAGUUACCCUCAAAUCCAAUUACUUGCCUCAAAACGCGGGACUCAAUACUCCAAAAAGUCCUUCCCACGCGAAUAGGCCUCCGAGCGACUCAAAUCUAGUCAUAACAACUUAAUAUUAACAAUAGAAGCCAUAGGAAACAAUCUUAAACAAUAAAGCUAAGGUCUUUAUCCAAUUACGCAAAGUCAACCCAAGGCCCGCACCCCAGAACUAAAUGUAACAUAAAAAUUCUGAACACCUAUUCCGAUAUGAGUCAAAAUAUAUGUAUUUCAUCCAAUUCCAACCACAAAUCGACCCACAAAUCAACAAAUCUAACUCUCCAAUAACAUAGUCUAAAAUCUCCAAAUUGUACCCUAAAUUUACAUAAACUAGAUGCAAUAAUCCAUGGUAAUCAAUAUAUCAUCAAAAUUGAAUAAACUCCACAUAACUCUUCAAUUAUGGUGAAAAACCUCCCAAAAUUUGCCUCCAAUCGAGCUCCACAGCUCCAAAUAAUGAAAAAUGACCAAACCCUUCAAAAUAUAAAUCCUACGCAGUGAUUACACAUCUACGCUCACUUAGCCGCUUUUGCAGUACUGCAUCUGCGGCCACUAGCUCGCACCUGCAAGUUCCCUCCAUCUGCUGAUCAUGUGCACCUGUGAUCCCUCCUGCGCAUCUGCGCAUCCGCAUAUGCGGUCCUUAAUCGCAGAUGCGCUUCUGCUUAUGCGUGCAACUAAAUACAUCUGCGGUAUUCCCUAACCUCCAGCCUCAUCUGCUUCUGCGGCCCCUUGCCCGCACCUGCAGACUUGCAUCGGCGACCAGUCCUCUGCAGGUGCGAAAACACCAGACUCAGCAACACUUCAGCAAUGCAACACAAUCCAAAACAAGCCGAAACCAAUCUGAAACAUGCCCAAGGCCCCCGGGACCCCGUCCAACCAUUCCAACAAAUCCCAAAACAUAACACGAACCUACUCGAAGCCUCAAAUGACAUAAAAUAACAUCGAAACCACGAAUCGCACCACGAUUCAAGCCUAAUGAACUUCCAACUUCCAACUUCCAAAACACACACCGAAUCACAUCAAACCAACCCGGAAUAAUCUUAAAUUUUGCAUAUAAGUCACAAAUGACAUAACAAUCUUAUUCCAACUCCUGGGACCAAUAUCCGAACCCGAUAUCAACAAAGUCAACUCUCGAUCAGACCUAUAAGCCUUCAAAACCUUCAGCUUUCCAACUUUCGCCAAAAAUACCAACCCAACCUACGGACCUCUAAAUCCAAAUCCGGACACAUGUCAAAGUCAAAAAUCACAGUACCAAGCUAUUGGAAUCAUCAAAAUACCAUUUAGGAGUCAUCUACACAAAAGUAAAACUCCGCUCAACUCUUACAACUUAAGCUUCCAACAUUGGGACUAAGUGUCUCAAUUCACUCCAAAACCUUCCCGAAACUAAUCCAACCACAUAGGAACGUAAGAUGUGGAUAGUGCGCUUGGACUACCUUUCUAUUUUUGGAUUACACGCUAUACUCAGCUCGACCUCAGUUCCUAACUCUCACUACACUGCUCUCCAAAAAUGCAAUCUGAACCAAGUGCCUUGAUCCGAGAUAAUAGACAUGGGCACAUCAUGAAGGCAAACAACCUCACGAUUGUAAAUUCGAGCCAGCUGCUCUAAAGAGUAGGUAAUUAUGACUCUAUUGCAGUGUGCAGACUUGGUCAGUCUAUCCACAAUAACCCAUACUACAUCCAAUCUCCUCAAGGUCCGUGGAAGUCCAACUACAAAAUCCAUAAUGAUAUGCUCCCACUUUAACUCCAAAAAAUCAAGCCUCUGAAGCAAACCAAUAGGUCUUUGAUGCUCUUACUUCACCUGCUGAUAGUUCAAACACCGAGCAACAUACACAAAAAUAUCCUUCUUCAUCCUCCGCCACUAAUACUGCUGCCUCAAAUCCUGGUACAUCUUUGCGGAUCCCGGAUGAAUGGAAUAUGGCGAACUAUGGGCCUCCUCAAGUAUAAACUCUCGCAACCCAUCCAUAUUUGGGACACAGAUCUGUCCAUGCAUCUUCAAUACCCCAUCAUCACCGAUAGUAACCUCCUUAGCAUCACUGUGUUGCACCGUGUCCUUUAAGACAAGUAAGUAGGGAUCAUCAUGCUGAUGCGACUUGAUGCGCCCAAACAAAGAAGACUGUCAAACCACGCAAGCAUGAACCCGGCUAGGCUCCAAAAUAUCCAACCUCACAAUCGCAUUGUCCAAUGCCUGAACAUCCAGUGCUAACAUUUUCUCCACAACUGGAAUAUAAGCAAGACUCCCCAUGCUAUCAUCCUUCCUAAUCAAAGUAUCGGCCACCGCAUUGGCCUUCCCGGGGUGAUAAAGAAUGGUGAUAUCAUAGUCCUUUAGUAUCUCUCACCACCUUCGUUGGCUCAAGUUCAGAUCUUUUUUCUUGAAUAAGUGUUGUAGACUUCAGUGAUUUGUGAACACCUUACAAGACAUGCCGUAAAGAUAAUGCCUCCAAAUCUCGAGCGCAUGAACAAUGGUUGCCAACUCCAAAUCAUGUACAGGGUAGUUUUUUUCAUUUGGCUUCAACUGACGUGUAGCAUGUGUAAUAACUCUACCCUCCUACAUCAACACACAUCCAAUUCCAAUUCGUGAAGCAUCACAAUAGACUGUAUAAUAACCCGAUCCCGAAGGAGAAACCAGAACUGGAGAUAUAGUCAAGGCAGUUUUGAGAUUCUAAAAGCUCUCCUCGCACUCAUCAGACCACCUCAACGGGGCACUCUUCUGUAUCAAUCUAGUCAAUAGGGCUGCUAUAGAUUAUAAUUAAUCCACAAAACAAUGAUAAUAUCUGGCGAAACCAAGGAAACUCCAGAUCUCGGUAGUAGAAGAUAAUCUGGACUAACUCUGAACAACUUCAAUCUUCUUUGGAUCUACCUUAAUCCCCUCAUUAGACAUCAUGUGGCCCAAGAAUACCACAGAAUCAAGCCAAAACUCUCACAUGGAGAAUUUAGCAUACAGCUUCUUCUCCCUCAACAUCUGGAGCACGAUCCUCAAAUAUUGCUCAUUAUCCUCCUAGCUGCUUGAAUACACCAAUAUAUUAUCAAUGAAAACUAUGACGAAGAAAUAAAGAUAGGGUUGAAAUACAUUGUUCAUCAAGUGCAUAAAAGCUAUUGGGGGCAUUGGUCAUCCCAAAAGACAUCACUAAAAACUCAUAAUAACCAUGGUGGGUCCUAAAAGCCAUAUUUGGAAUAUCUCAAGUCUGAAUCUUCAACUGAUGGUACCCCAACUCAAAUCAAUCUUCGAGAAUACCCUAGCACACUGAAGCUGAUCAAACAAGUCAUCAAUAAAUGGUAGUGGGUACUUGUUCCUAACUGUAACCUUGCUCAACGGCUUGUAGACAAUACACAUCCUCAUAGAGCCUCCAUUCUUCUUCAAAAAUAGGACUGGAGCACCCCAAGGCGAGACACUCGAUCUAAUAAAACCGUUAUCAAGCAACUCUGGAAACUAAUCCUUUAACUCAUUCAACUCUGUUGGUGCCAUGAAAUAUGAUGUAAUAAAGAUUGGCUGAGUGCCCGUCACCAUCACCAUCACCGUCACCAAGUCAAUACAAAAAUAAAUAUCCCUGUCAGGUGGCAUGCCAGGCAGGUCAACUGGAAACACAUCUGGAAACUCUCUCACUACCGGAACUGACACGAUGGUAGAACUAUCAGCACUAACAUCCCUCACAAAGGCUAAAUAUGCCAAGCACCCCUUCUCGACCAUCCGUUGUGCUUUCACAAAGGACACCACCCUACUAGGAACAUGAUCAAGGGAACCUCUCCACUCCAACCUUAGCAACCCCGGCAUAGUCAACGUUAUGGUCUUAGUGUGAUAAUCAAGAAUAGCGUGAUAUGGAGACAAAUAAUCCAUGCCUAGGAUCACGUAAAAAUCUACCAUGCUGAGCAAUAAGAGAUCAACUCUCAUCUCAUAACCUACAAUGGUCACCACACAUGACCGUUAUACAUGGUCCACCAUAAUAGAAUCACCCACCAAUAUAGAUACAUGAACAUGCAUAACAUAUCUAAAUAACGAGCAAAGUAUGGUGACAUAUAUGAAUAAGUGGAACGAGGGUCAAAAACACUGAAGCAUCCUUGUGGCACACUGCAACAAUACAUGUGAUCAUGGCAUCAGAAGCAACCGCAUCUGGCCUGGCUGUACAUGCAUAGCAACGGGCCUGACCACCGCUUGACUAACCUCCCCCUCUAGGGCGACCUUGACCCGUACGACCUUCACCACAAGCUGGCUGAGCGGGUGGUGUAGCUACUGGUGCGAGAGUCAUAGUCUGACCUCCCUGCUACAUCGAACCUCUGAGAAGAUGGGGGAAAUACCUCUUCACAUGCCCCAACUCCCCACACUCAUAGCAACCUCGACCUAGGGAUGACUGCGGGGCCUAAACUGGACCUUGUGAACUAGAAUAAACACUGGAAUAAUCCAGUGUACGGGCGACGAGAGUCUGGCUUCCUCCGCCAGCCUGUGAGGUAGUUGGUGUAACCAGUAUCGUACCCGCCUGAGCCAAGCUAGUGUACACACUUAAGAUCUGAGCCAAAGUCUCGUGAAGACCGGGCAUAGCAAUAGGUACCGCCGAUGUCUAAGCUUCUCCCACCAGCUAAUUAAUAUUUGGUACCUGCUCCUCCACUGGAGCAACUGCUGGCUCCACAGGUGCUGGUCUAACUGUAGUGCGAGCCCCAACUCAGCCUCUACCUCGGCCCCAAUGGCCCUAAUAAGUAGUAUUGGUACCUGAUCACCCGAACGUGUCCUCACCAUUAGAGAGAGAAUAAAAGAACAGAGGUUCAGACUUUAGAAUUAACAAAUCGGCAUGACAAGAAUGCAAGAAAGUGAAGUUUCUUAGUAGUUCAAUUGCCUCUCCAAGAUAAUUACACACAUCUUUGUACCGAUUCCUAAUACUCUACAAAACUUGAUCAUGACUCGUCAGACUUAGGCAACCUAGUGCUCUGAUACUAACUUGUCACGAUUCAACUCACACCAAAGUAGUGAUGGCGCCUAACUCUACUUUCUAGGCAAUCCAACAGAUUCACAAUAACAAUAAACUUAAUAAAGAGAAAUUAAUAAAUCCAUCAGCGAAAAUAUCAUGAAAUAACUAGGAAAAGAAACGAUAACAUGACUACAACCAGCCCACAGAUCUGGUGUCAAUGAGUACAUGAGCACUACUAAAUAUCAAAAUACAAGGCCAUAUCCACAAUACAACUGUUUGGAAAUAGAACAAUAACAACAGAAGUAAAUGAAAGAAAACUCCAACGCCUGUGAACGACAUAGCAACUACCUUGUAGUCUCUUCAACUCAUACCGGUGCCAGCUCUAGCAACCAUCGUACCCAGAACUACAUGGAUCUGCACAUGAAGUGCAGUAUAUAGUAUGAGUUCAACCGAGCACAUGUACUCAAUAAGUAACAAACCUAUCCUUGGGCUAAAAGUAGUGACGAGCUCAGAAGAAACAGUCAGUGACAGAUAUCAAUAGUCAGUAACAACUCAUGAUAUAAUGGAACAAUAUAAGUGAACAACUCAAUGAUAUCAUGUUCAACUCGAUAACGUUGCAUGAAUGGAAACAUGCUUUCCAAGUAUAACAGUUUAAGCCCAAAACAUAUAAAACACGUUAUUUACCAGCUAGCAUGAGGAAAGUAUAUCUCUAUGCUAUAUGUCAAGUUUGUGUCAUCACACUGAAACCUUCAAGAGUAACCACACUCAGCACGCUCACAGUGCCUAACACAAGGUCCCUCAAAAUUAGACACACAACUACACUCAGCAUUGUACGGGUGCUUGACAUAAUUGCCCCUCAACAAAGCACGUAUUUAUCACUGUUCCUGCACUCACUGUAAUAUCAGACUACGGAGGGGUAGAUCCUGGCCCAUGCACAAAUCAAUAGUCAAUAUGACUUUUUGCGAUGUGCAACCAAAUACAAAUAACAAUCCAUUGCAGCAUGCAACCCGAUCCAGAUAUCACUAUGUUGCAGCAUGAAACCCGAUCCAAAUAUCACUCUUUUCGGUGUGCAACCCGAUCAAAAUAUAACUCACAACUUAGCUCAAUGGCCCACAUCAGUCAUCAACCUCUCAAGUCUCAAAGGCUAACAAUCUCAUAGAACGCAGCCCAAAUAGUAUCACAUAUGGAAAACAAUAACAACAUGUGAUGUAACAAACGAAUAAUGUACUGAGACCGAUAUAUGACAUGCAAAUUAAGAUUUAUGACUGAGUAUAUAACUACAAUUAAGGCAAACAUCUCAAAACAUCAGGAAUAGCCCCAUUAUGUCUCAACUAAAUAAGCAUAUAGCCUAGACAUGAUUUCUAAAAUUAAUCAUAGGUCAAAUAAUAAAGUCCGACAAUAGUCUGACAAGCCAUGAUAGGAAAACAAGUCCGACAAUAAAGUCCGACAAGCCAUGAUAGGAAAACAAGUCCGACAAUAGUCUAAAGUCCAUUCAGAUCAUGAAUACUCUGGUGCACGCACACACGCCGGCCACCUAGCAUGUGUGGCACCCUAACACAUCUCGCAUAACAUAGUUCCCAAGGUUAAUUACCCUUAGAUCCAAAUUUAGAUAUGUUACUUUCCUCAAAACGCGGGCCUUAAUACUCCAAAAAGCCAUUCCCAUGCGAAUCGGCCUUCGAGAAACUCGAAUCUAGUCAAAACAACUUAAUAUUAAUAAUAGAAGCAAUAGGAAGCAAUCCCAGAAUAUAAAGCUAAGGUCUUUAUCCAAUUAUGUGUUUCAUCCAAUAACAUAGUCUAAAAUUCCCAAAGUUUACCUUAAAUUCACAUAACUAGUUGUAACAAUCCAUGGGUAACAAAUAUCUAUCAUCAAAAUUGAAUAAACUUCACUUACCUCUUCAAUUGCGGUGAAAUACUCCCAAAACUCGCCUCCAACCGAGCUCUACAAGUCCAAAUAAAAAAAAUUACCAAACUCUUCAAAAUAUAAAUCCUGCCUAGUGAUUCUGCAUAUGUUGUCUCUUACCCGCUUUUGCGGUACCGUAUUUGUAGUCACAAGCUUGCAUCUAUGAUUUCCCUCUAUCUGUCGUCGAUGCGCACCUGCGAUCCCUCCUGCCCAUCUGCCCAUCUACAUCUGCGGUCCUUCACUGCAGAUGUGCUUCCGCUUCUGCGCCCAACUAACCGCAUUUGUGGUUUUCCUUGACCUCCAGCCUUGUCCGCAUUUGCGGCUCCUUGCCUGCACUUGCGGACUCGCAACUCCUACCAGUCCUUCGCAGGUGCGAAAACACCAGACUCCACAACACUUCAGUAAUGCAACAUAAUCCAAAACAAGCCGAAACCAAUCUGAAACAUACUUGAGGCCUGCGGGACCCCGUCCAACCAUUCCAACCAAUCCCAAAACAUAACACAAACCUACUGCAAGCCUCAAAUCACAUAAAACGACAUCGAAGCCAUGAAUUUCACCAUGAUUCAAGCCUAAUGAACUAAAGCACUUCAAAUUUCUAAAACUCAUUCCAGAUCACAUCAAACCAACCUGGAAUAACCUUAAAUUUUGCAUACUAGUCUCAACUGACACAACAGUCCUAUUCCAACUCUCGAGACCAAAAUCCGAACCCGAUAUAAACAAAGUCAACUCAUGGUCAAACCUAUCUACCUUCCAAACCUUAAACUUUUCAACUUUCGUGAAAACUACCAAACCAACUUACGGACCUCCAAAUCCAAAUCGAGAUAUAGGACAAUGUCCAAAAUUACAAUACGAAGCUAUUGAAAUCAUCAAAACAAAAUUUUGGAGUCGUCUUCACAAAAUUCAAACUCCGGUAAACUCUUACAACUUAAGCUUCCAACCUUGGGACUAAGUGUCUCAAUUCACUCCAAAACCUUCCCAAAACCAAUCCAACCACCUCGGCAAGUCACAUAACCACAAAUGAACAUAGAAGAGCUAAUAAAUAGUGUAAUAGGGCUACAAUACACAAAAUGAUCGACCGGGUUAUUAAAGAGUUCCCUUAUUCCCUGACACUUUAGAGUUCACAAGGGCCUCAUGGACCCCGAGUAGUGCUUGUGCCAAGGAAGGAUCUCUACAAUGUAUAGUCGACCCAAAUCUAUCUUAGAAACUACAAAUUUCCUUCUCUCAAAAUAUUAAAAAUAUACACAAAGAAUUAACCUCAUAUAUCCAGUCACUAUGUAACAAUAAAUAUCUGGCUUCUAAAUGAAAUUCAGAGGCUAUUAAGAACAAUUUAGCAGCUUGGAGCAGAACAUGCUUUGUCAUAUCUACAUUUUGAAGUAAGUUAUAAAGUCAAAAAUCAUAUCCACAUAAGUUGUCUAAUAGACCCUAAUAGGAAACAUGCUAGACUUAAAAAAUUCUCUGAGUUUAAGUUCAUGACAACAAACAGAAGGUGAAGACUCUAUCCAGCAUCAACUAUAUGGUUAUAGUUGUAAUGACCUGAUCGGUUAUUUUGUGUAUUGUGCUAUGUUAUCCCUUAUAUUGCUUCACACUUGGGUGUUUAUGUCUUUAUGACUUGCAUGUUUUAUUAGUUUCAUUCCGGUAAGCUUUCGCAUUGAUUUGGACCCUUGAAUUCUAGACUUAGAAGUUUAAAUUUGAAAAUAUUGACCAAACUUUGACUUUUGUAAAACGACUCCGGAACUAUGUUUUUAUGACUCCAAUAGCUUUGUAUUGUGAUUUCGGACAUGAGCGUAUGCCCGGAAUUUAUUUUGGAAGUCCGUAAGUUGAUUUGCUGAAAUUUUGCAAUUUUAAGUUGAAAUAUUUGACCGUAGGUUAACUUUUAGCUAUUGAGCUUGGAAUUUAAUUUUGGGACUUGGAAUAGGUCUGUUAUGGCAUUUAGAACUUGUUUUAAAAAUUUGGCGUCGUCCGGAGUUGAUUUGAUAGGAAUCAGACGCUUAGUUGUAAUUUUAGAAGUUCUUGAAAAUCUCUUUAAAAAUCAUGCGUUGUAGAGUUCAAUUAGUCUUUAGACGUUAAUUAUGUGUUUAGAUUGCGCGAGCGAGUUAGUAUGAUGUUUUUAGACUUGUGUGGAUAUUUGUUUAGAAGCCCCGAGGGCUCAGGCGAGUUUCGAACGCUUAGCGGAGUGUUGUUGGAAAUCAAAGUUUGCUAGUUUUUCUGUAGGCCUCUAAUCUUGCAUUUGCGAGAUUUUGGUUCGCAUUUGCAAAGGUAGGCCAAGUCUGCUGGGUUAGCAUUAGCGAACCCAGUGUUCGCAUUUGCGAUAUCUUCUGGGAUGGGCUAGGAUGGCAAUUGUGAUGAUUUUAUCGUAAUUGCGAGGGCAACACUGGUCGCAAAUGCGAUCCAAUCUUCACAUUUGCGAAGAGUUCCCCAAGCCUUCAGUGCUGCAAUUGCGAGGGUUCGAAAUUGCGUACCCAUGUCGCAAUUGCGACAUCUGCAACUGAUCAAAUAGGUGGGAGACAGGAUUUUUGAGUUCAUUCUCUCAUUGUUUGAACCCUAGACUGGGUAGGAGGCGAUUUGGAGAGGAGAUUUUUACCUACAAACCUUUGGUAAGUAAUUCUAAUCUAUUUCUAAUCAUAUUCCAUUAACAUAUCUUAGAUUUUAACAUCAAAAUCAUGUGAAUCAAAGUAUAAAUUGGUGAAACUCUGCUAUGUUUUUAAAAUAUAAGAAAUUGAGUUUUGAAAGUCGAUUUGGACUCAAAUUUUAAAACUAAUCAUAUAUAUGAACUCGUGGGGUCAUGGGUUGACGGAAUCUACAAUUGGACCCGGGUUUUGACCAGGCAAGCCCCAGGUUGACUUUUGUUGUUUUUUUGGGAAAAGUGUAACAAUAUUAACUUUUUCUAUUGCAAUUAAUUCUCUAGCUUUAUUUGAUUAUAUUGAGGCAAUUUUGGUUAUAUUUGAGCCGUGUGGAGGCAGAUUUUAAGGGAAAAGCUUUUUCCUAGUGUUGAAUUAGCCUAAUUGAGUUAAGUGUCUUUCCUAACUUCGUGUGGGGGAACUACCCCUUAGAAUUGGUACAGUUUUAUUCAAUUGUGCUAAGUGAAAUCAGUGUACACAAGGUGACGAGUGGGUACACGGGUUGUACGUAGUAUUUGACCGGUGUAGGCUACUUAGACUAUUUCAUGCUUUAACUAAAAUGCCCUAUUAUGUUCUAAAUCCUCAGAGUCAAAUUAUCCUUAAUUGUGUUAGAAUAUCUUUAAAUGCCUUAGUUGACGUGUUUAGCAUUGUUCUACAUCGUACUUGCUAAAUUGAUCUCAUGCUUUAGUUGAACUUGUUGCCUCCUUUAUUGCUACAUGAUAUUUCUUCAUUGUUAAUUAUCAUUGUUGAAGUAAUUGUUCAUGUUAUCCCUAAACUUAUUGAUUUCCAUUAUUUGAGACUCAUUGUUGAAUAUUAUCUCUUUUGCUGUGAAGUUAGUCUUAUCUAAUAUUGUAGUUAUACAUUAUUUCUCUCAUUGUUGAGUUAUUUAGUGUUAAAGUUGUGGAAGUCGUUAAUACGUUGAGGCGAUGUUGGUCAUUGUUGAAAUAUCUACCUUGAUGAGCAUUUUUCAUCCAUUUUGUUGUCCAUUUUUCUCGUACACAUUGUGUUGGAGCCAUGGGCUAUUAUUGUGGAAAUAUUGAUGUUAUUGUUAUUGGCAAGUUGCUGUUGUGAUAUGAUAUUGAUGUGCAUACGGCGGUAUAAGGCUUGGAUUGAUGUGCAUGCAGGCAGUAUAAGGUGGGACUUAUGUGCGUGAUUGCUUGUAGAGGAACUACGUGAAGCCACGUGGUGUCAUAAGGUGGGCUAAAGUGGGUGUAGCUAUUUCGGAAAAACUGUUUUCAAAACCUAUUUUCAAAUGUAAGGCUCACGUGGAGGUAUAAGGAAAGAUUAUGAUUGAAAUUGAGAAAUGUGAAUACGAGGUGGUACCUCGGUUGUGAUUCUUGAUUUUACGAGGCGGUACCUCGAUUUGAUUUCAUUAUACAUGAGGCGGUACCUCGAUGUGAUUCUUGAUAUUUAUUUCACGUUGCAAAGUGUUUUGGUGGGAAAUAUAUUUGUUGUUUCAUUCCUUAUUGUUCUUUCAGUUGUUGUCCGUACUUGAUGAUUGUAGUCCUUUAGUUGCUUCUUUUAUGCUAUUUCUACUGUUGAUUUUUCGGUAUUAGGUCAUGCUAUCAUAUUGUUCCAUUUUAUAUCCAUAUUUCAUUUUAUAUUGUCUAUUUCAUAUCUUAGUAGGUGUCUUGACAUGGCCUCGCCACUACUCUACUAAGGUUAGGCUUAAUACUUACUGGAUACCAUUGUGGUAUACUUAUACUAUGCUUCUGCACAUAUUUUUUGAGCAGAUCCAGGUACGUCCACUCGUGCUGGUCGAUAGAGAUUUUCUGCAUGCCUUGGAGUCUCCUUCCCUUAUUCUCAGUUACUGUUGUAUUUUGUCGCAAACAGUGAUGUAUCAGAUGUUUUAGUUAUUCCAUAGUGCUUAUGACAUUUACCACAAUUCUUGAGAAUUGUAUGGUUGAGACAUUUCUUUUUAGUAGUUAUAUGAGUUUAUCAAACUGGGUUGAUUAUUUUAUUAUUUACAUUAUUUACAUUAGUUUAAUUGCCAUCGAAUAUCAGGCUUACCCAGUCGUAGAGACUAGGUGCCAUCACGACUUUCUAAGGAGGGAUAAUAGGGUCGUGACAAUAGAAAAGAAGAGUAUGUCUACAUUGAUUCUUGAUGGAGGUAUAUAAGAAAGUUCCCAUUUCUUAAAUUCCUACGUAUUUCGCAUUACCUCUUCAAUACAACUAAGUAUUACAAAGAACUAAUAGAAUUACAAAGUCUCUUAUAUUUUGUAAAAGAAAGCCUCAAACUGCCACUUACAAGGAGGGUUAUGUUCAUGCUCGACACUUAGCAGUUACAAACAAGUAAAUUAAGAAAACAAUGUAUGUAUAUAGUAGCUUCUUUCUUAAUCAUGCUCAUUAUCUAAAUCUCAUGUUUAUUGUUAAAGGGCAAAGUCAUAGGCAUAAUUUUUAUUUCCUCUCUAAUAUUACAUCAAGCUGAUUUAGAUCAAUUCUGUAAAUCAAAUGAACAAUUCCACAAUAUUUCUUGGAAGAGCUAUGCUAGAUUACAAUUGAUCCUUUCCAAUACUAAUGAAGUAUCCCUGAUAUUCAUAAGGAAAUUCAGAAUAUUAUGACAUAUGGUUUUAAGAUCACAGAUACCAGUCGACUAAAGUUUAUGUUUCACAUGCAUAGAUAGAAAAGCUAUCCAUUCUUUUCACAUGCCUAAAAUAUUUUAUAGAGAUGGUCAUAACACCCGAAGCAAGUUUUAAGCUAGUCUGUCAUGAUGAAGGUAAACUUGAAAGCCAAUAGACUUUAAAUAGAAUACCAGGAAUUGCAAAUUAUUCUUGUAGAAGUACUGAUAAACGAGUUACUUCAUCAGGCAUUUCACACAGAGUCAAAGAUGAUCAUAUUUCUAGCUAUGCUUCUCAGGCCUUGAGAGAGAAAAUCCUACAUGGUAAAUUAGGUAUUGACAUUCCACAGGUUCAACGGCUAUGAUUCUUGAUUUUACUACACACAACUUCUUGCAAAGCACUUGAAUCAACAUGUCACUCAUAGGUAGAUGGACAUAAUAAUCACAUAAUUACUGAACAUGCAGCUCUUUACUAAACCUAGAAUUUAUAUAACUAAACUAGAAAAUCAAAUAACAAGAUUCCAAAACACAGUACGAUAAAUGGAAGCAUUCACAUAUUUUGAACAAAAACUUUAGUAGAUAACCAAAGAGAAAGUUCUCACCUUGUGUUGAGAACAAACUAGGGCAAGGAUUUUGGAUUAUCAAGGGCUCUUCUCCUCAAACUCGAACUCAAAUGGAAUCAGAAAGAAAUAGAGGAAGCAGGAGUAAGUGUGAAGUUAAAGCAGAAAAUCUAAUUUUGUAUAAACUUAAUGGCUAUUCAAUUUGUCUCAACUAGUGGUUGGUAGAGUAUUAACUCUGGAUAUUUAUAGGCGGGGAUUGAGGGUAUUUGAAAUUUGAAACUUAGAAUAUUCAGACUUCUUAUAAGGAAUCGGCGAACUAAAGCAAUGACAAAAGGCAAAAGAGGGGAACAGAUUUAACUUCGCUGAUUGUUGACGAGAGAGGAGAGAUAUUGGGGUUCAAAACCUCUAGUUUUGCCCAUGGUUUUGAAGGAUGAACUAUUGGGUAGAAGCUAUGACCGCUAGGUUUCGCUGAGGUCACAGAAUCUUGAGAUCUUCAUCAUUGAAGACGGAUCUCUUAAGUUUUUGUCUCCAUCCAGGACUACAUGUAAGGUAGCAGAGAUUACUUGUUUAGGAUAUGGUUGUGGUGAUGAGGUUAGGAGUGAUGGAAGUCUAGGUAGCACCUUGUGGUGCUAUGGUUUUGAGGGUAGAAUAGGUGAGAGGGAAUGAGUGGAAGGGAAAAAGGAUUUAAAAAAAUCGCUGAUUGGAGUAUUGUCUUGAAUGGGUGAAAGGAUAGGAAAAUUUCAGUCGGUGCAGCAUCAUUUGGUGCUAGGGUUUCAGGGAUUUUCAGAGGUGAGAGAGACGAGAGAGAUGUGAUAAACAGUAAUUGGGGAUGGCUAUUU